rnacentral:rRNA from 1 species
AACGAACGCUGGCGGCGUGCCUAACACAUGCAAGUCGAGCGGGAAAGUUCCCUUCGGGGAGCAAGUACAGCGGCGAACGGGUGAGUAACACGUAGGUAACCUACCUUGGAGAUCGGGAUAACCUGCCGAAAGGCGGGCUAAUACCGGAUAAGACCACGAGGGCUGCGGCCCUUGAGGAAAAAGAUGGCCUCUGCUUGCAAGCCAUCACUCUGGGAUGGGCCUGCGCGCCAUAGCUAGUUGGUGAGGUAACGGCUCACCAAGGCUGAGAUGGCUAGCUGGUCUGAGAGGAUGGCCAGCCACACUGGGACUGAGACACGGCCCAGACUCCUACGGGAGGCAGCAGUGGGAAUAUUGCGCAAUGGGCGAAAGCCUGACGCAGCGACGCCGCGUGGGCGAUGAAGGCCUCGGUCGUAA